rnacentral:rRNA from 1 species
AGAGUUUGAUCCUGGCUCAGGAUGAACGCUGGCGGCGUGCCUAACACAUGCAAGUCGAACGCGAGCACUUGUGCUCGAGUGGCGAACGGGUGAGUAAUACAUAAGUAACCUGCCCUAGACAGGGGGAUAACUAUUGGAAACGAUAGCUAAGACCGCAUAGGUACGGACACUGCAUGGUGACCGUAUUAAAAGUGCCUCAAAGCACUGGUAGAGGAUGGACUUAUGGCGCAUUAGCUGGUUGGCGGGGUAACGGCCCACCAAGGCGACGAUGCGUAGCCGACCUGAGAGGGUGACCGGCCACACUGGGACUGAGACACGGCCCAGACUCCUACGGGAGGCAGCCGUGGGGAAUUUUCGGCAAUGGGGGAAACCCUGACCGAGCAACGCCGCGUGAAGGAAGAAGGUUUUCGGAUUGUAAACUUCUGUUAUAAAGGAAGAACGGCGGCUACAGGAAAUGGUAGCCGAGUGACGGUACUUUAUUAGAAAGCCACGGCUAACUACGUGCCAGCAGCCGCGGUAAUACGUAGGUGGCAAGCGUUAUCCGGAAUUAUUGGGCGUAAAGAGGGAGCAGGCGGCAAUAGAGGUCUGCGGGGAAAGCGUGAAGCUAAACUUCAGUAAGCCGUGGAAACCAGGCAGCUAGAGUGCAGGAGAGGAUCGUGGAAUUCCAUGUGUAGCGGUGAAAUGCGUAGAUAUAUGGAGGAACACCAGUGGCGAAGGCGACGAUCUGGCCUGCAACUGACGCUCAGUCCCGAAAGCGUGGGGAGCAAAUAGGAUUAGAUACCCUAGUAGUCCACGCCGUAAACGAUGAGUACUAAGUG